AGAUACAGAGAGCCUGGUGUUGUUACCUGUGUUCCUGGGCGGAGCUUUUGAAGUGAACGGAGAAAGGAGCACUGACUGUAGCAAAUUACCUGGGCUGAAACAUUUUUGACAUAAAUCCUAAGAGGGGGGUGAGCCACUUCUCCUGGAGGCCCCAUCGGGAGCGUUUAAUCUCGGGCCAUGAGAGGCAGCGUUGCUGACAGCCUGACAGGACAGCUGGACACGCUUCCAGGCAGCAGUGACGGACAUGCCAGUCUUCGGAGCAGGGCCACUGCCCAUGCAUCACCACAAAGCACCAUGAUGAUGGCAGCAGGGGGCAGCUGAAAGGGCUCGGAGUUGGCAGAGAUGCAGCAUGGGUUGACAGGCAGGCACUCGCUGGUGACAGAGCACCGGAGCUUCUGUCUCUUUGAAGUUUCUUCUCUGCCAUGUCAAAGAAACCAAGACUCUACACAUGGGAUUUCACCAAGUAAAAACAUCCUCUGGAUUUCAGGUGCCACUACAGCUG
rnacentral:lncRNA from 1 species